rnacentral:lncRNA from 1 species
GGUGAAGAUGAAGCCUUAGGCCGGUGAACAGUUCUGACGAGAGGACGUGUGUGCACUGUGCCCUGGUACUCCAGUAGACAACGAGGGGCCCACUCCCCCAGUUACUCACCGUGGAGGGCGGGGCGGGGCAUGUAAGGAGCAAAACUGCCAUCCGAUCAAGCCGAGUGGCACCCUGGUUAGGAGCAUGGACUCAGAGCCCUUCAGCCUGACCUUGCCUCUCAGCUCCAAGGCCGCGGGAGAAGUUCUUGUAAGGUUUUCUCAUUUUUGACCGGGAGUAGCAAUGACAGCUGCAGCCUCAUUCAGAGAGAGAAUGCAGGUGAAGAUAGUAGUGCAUCUCGUGGCUUGGGACAUAGCAAGCAUUAGAUGUGUUCUCAGUGGUGGUCUUGUCCCCUAUCAGUGUUGAAUUGUCACCUGUAUCUUAAUGGCUCCAUCCCCAACUCCAGAAAUCGCUGCCAGUCAGCUCAGACGGUGCAUGUUCAAAACCGAAUUCCUUUUCUUGCCUUGAACCACACAUUCUGUGCUCUUUUCUCCUGUGCUGUAAGCUCUUGAGCACAGCCUGUCUGUGCUUUUCCUCUUUGGAGCCUAGUAACCCCCUUCAUGGAGGUGCGAAGUAGGUACCCGGUGAAGUUCCCCAGUGGUUGCAGCCUGGGACAUGCGUAAUGAUUGACUGACCCCGAGGAGCCUGUGUGGUGGAGUUAGGGCUCGUGGGGGAUCCGAUGAGCACAGAUGUGCAUGGUUUUUCCAGCAGGCCACAUCAUAUCUACCUCUGUGGCUUCAGAGCAGGGCUGAGAUUUACCAUUAGAGAGAGAAGAACAGGGUUGGGGAGCAGAGGUAAAUCUAGGCACAUAGCACGGAGCCACACUGAACCAGUAGAUGAAAGAUGGUUCUUAGAGUGAGCCUGGAAGUUCAUUUAUGCAGGGAUAAGAGCUCUCGGGGUGGUAGAAUAACGUUUUUGAGAAAUGACCAGGUUUAAGACAACGCCCUCCGGGUGACCCUUCCCUUUCCCUGCAUCUCCCUUCAUCCUGCAUCGGGGGAUGGCACAGCUACAGAAAUGGAGAUGCCCUUCCCUCGCUUCGCAGGGAGGAGGCCACGCAGCCUCGUUCUGGGUUCCCUGUGGUAACUUAAAGGAGCCCUUGAUGUCCUGCCAAUGAAGACAGUGUCCUCAAACUCUUUGCAGUGGGCACCCACUUAAGUGCCACCACCUUGACUUCCAAAUGGAACACUGUGUCUCCAAAAGGAGGGGUGAUGGCUUCUACCUCGUAAACCUGAAGACAACCCGGGAGAAGCUUCUGCUAGCAGCUUGCGCCAUUGUUGCCAUUGUGAACCUGCUUAAUGACUCACAUCCUCUAGGAAGCCUGGCCCACGAGCCGUGGUGGCAUCUGAUCUGAUCUGGGCAGCCCUCUGGGAACCAUGGCUUCUGGAAGUUCCUGACCCCGGGGCUGCCCACCAGCCUCUCCCAGAAUGUCAACCCACGCCAUGGCUGUGCCCUGUGGACAUGGCCGCUGGUGCAACCACAAGGGAGUGCCCUCAGCACAUCUGGAGCGGUCGCUGUGGGCCCAGCAAGUUAAGCAUGUACAUGAUACCCUCCCCUGUGAACACCCAUGGAGGGCAUGCCUGGUCUCUACUUCUGCAGACAUCCCCAGAGUCUGAAAAGGUGAGCAGCUGCCCCCGAAGGGUUAUGCAAGCAAGAAUGUUGGGGCAACUGCAUUGCCCCAUUCCUGAGCUGACUGCUACUCAACCCGAGGUCGUAGCCGGGGCUGUGCCCACUCAGGGGUUCUUUGCUGAGGACUGGGAUGCCCAGCCAGCUGCUGAGAUGGAGUCUGCAGCACCCACUGCUCAGGCUUCUGAAUGGGGAGGAAGCACCAUGAAGGAGUCUUAGCUGUUCUGCCCCAGACACUUAAACAGAAAAUGGAAAUAAGGCUGACAAGAAGAAACACUUCUUUUUUUAAAAAUGAAGAAGACCGAAGGGAGAGCUUCCUCCAUCUUGGUUUCCCAAAGCACAAACCCAUUAAGAAUAUGUUUUGUGCCUCUAAAGCAAACCUGAAGGUACAGGGGAUUUCUCUAAGGGAAAAAAAACCUCAAGGAUGGAAAAGGAUUGUCCCCUCUGGUAUCUUUAAAAAAAUGCUCCUCAGGACUGGGAAUGGAGUCCCAGGGUAGCCUCCUUGAUGGUUUUCCUGGACAGAGUUAGUCCUGGAAGUUGAGCGCCUGGAGAGGGUUUGCAGAGUAGGCUGGGUCCCAUGGGAACAGUAGAGGGAACUCACUGCCAUGUCUAUGCUUGGCAAAGACAGCCUUGACUUUGGGGGACUUAGUGGACAGGCUCAGCAGCCACCUCACAUGGGACCUUCACUGACAAGAGACUCAAAGACCAAGUCCUUGGAGUUCUUAUUGUAGCACAGUGGGUUAGGAACCCAACUAGUCUCUAUGAGGAUGCAGAUUUGAUCCCUGGCCUCCCUCAGUAAGUUAAGAUCCAGUGUUUCCGUGAGCUGCAGUGUAGGUAGCAGACAUGGCUCAGAUCUGGCAUUGCCCUGGCCAUGGUGUAGGCUGGCAGCUGCAGCUCCUAUUCAACCCCUAACCUGGGAACUUCCAUAUGUCACAGGCGUGGUCCUAAAAAAAAAAAAAAAAGGACCGAAUUCUUUCCAGUCUCCUUCAACACCAAUCACGUUCAUGGUGCUUCAACACCAUCCUGGGAAAAACAGGGAGAGGAAAUCCAGAAUAAAUGGAAAAUAUGUUUCUGACCAUCAGGUGGAAAUUAAAAUAGAAAUAAAGUUAUAGAAACAAUUUUAAAUUUAUAUUUCUCAGACAACUGCAUUUGUGGAUGAGACUCAGUCUGGCAGCAGUAGCAGGGACCCAGGUCAGAGAUGCCAGCCCAGCAGCCUUAUCCCGCAGGAUGGCCGAUGGAGGAUAGGAAUGUGGGGAUUGGGCAACAGCAGGAGGACAGACAUCUCGGCUGGAGACAGACAGUCAUUUUGAUCCCCUGGCCGAGGCUCCUUGGUGAAAAGGGUUGAGGACAUGGAAGAACUGUAGUAAGUGGUGCACUAUCCUUGCUUCUCAUUCCAAAGUGUGGGUCAGUGGUUUCAAGCAGAUCUUCUUAGCUUAGUAAAGACCUGAGUUAAACAAAGAAGUCUUCCAGGCAUGCUUGUCUCUCCCAGCCAGGACCAGGUGGAUUCUGCUUGACACCUGGAGUCAAGAUUUUGCUGUCCAGUGUGGGCAACACCCUGUGUGAUGGAGGAUGCUGCCCCAGCCUGGCUUACUUAGAUGUUUUUGGUCACCUGGCAUGUAGUAGGUACUCAGUCAAUGUUGAAUGAGUGAGUGAAUACAGGAGCUUCUUUGGAGCCUGCCUGUCCAUGGCCCCUCUGCCAUCAGGCUCUCAGACACCAGAGCUGCUAGUGAUGGUUCUGGUCCAGAGCUACCCAGAUACCGCAGGGGACUGACUAUUUGGCUCAUCCUCUAGGACUGAGCAGA